GGAAAGGCUCGUGUCUGAGAACGGUGUGGCCACGAGAAUCUAGAAGAAACGAACCCGCAAGUCACUGGAGCUGAAGGCUGGUACUCAGGCCGAAUCUCGCGAGAAUUAGAACUAUUUCAGACCUAGAGUAGGAUAGCGGCGGCGGCGAACUUUGCCCGGUAGUUUUUACUGAUUGGGGUGCUGGCGCGCGCCUUUUUCUCGGCCAGAAUCCAGUAAUUGGGAUAGUCUUGGCUUCCACCUCAGCCGCACUUCUGUGAUCGUAAUACUAGUUUAGCUUGGGUUUGCCGUGAAGUAAGAAGACUGACUUCCGCAAACGUACUGAACGCCUGGGUGUAGGUGCCAGGGCGAGGACGUGCAGCUGGGGCCGCGAAAUGAGUUAGUUGUGGGCCGCUGGCCUCAAGGAGCGAAUGUCAGCGCGAGGAGAAGCAGCUUGUGCAUACGCUUUGAUAAGGGUUUUAAUAGAGAGACAGGGUCUCGCUGUGUCAUCCAGUCUGGAAUGCAGUGACUCGAUCGUAGCUCACUAUGACCAUGAACUCCCAGGCUAAAGCAGUCCUCAAGCAAUCCUUCCACCUCAGCCUCCUGAGUAGCUAGGAGUAGCUGAUUAGUGUGUGCAACCACGCCCAGCUAAUUUGUGUAUGUGUGUGCAUGUGUGUGCACGUGCAUAGAGCUAUGGGUCUCACUAUGUUGCUUAGGCUAGUCUUGAACUCCUGGCCUCAAGCAGUCUUCCUGCCUUGACCUCUCAAAGCAGUGGGAUUAUAGGUGUGAGCCACUGCUCCUGGCUGAGCACUGUUUCUUUAGGACAGAGACUGUGUUCACUAUUGCAUCUUCAGCUUUUGGAACAUGGUCAAGGACAGAGAAGUUGCACAAUUUGUAUUUAUUGAAUGAACGAAUGAUACCUUUGGGAGAGAAGAUAGUGGGUUGGAGAAAUAUCUUGAAAGAAUUGGAAAUUUUAGGUAGACCUUGAAGAAAAGGUGAAAUUCAAUUAGGACACAAGCAGUGAUUAAAAGCAUUGAGUUGGGAACAAAGUGGUAGGAUGUGGGAGUUAGUGUGUAGUAAAAACAACUAAAAUAUAGAAAGAGAUUAUAUAUUUGAUAGAAAUAGGAUUGACUAAAGUGAAUCCAGGUUGUAUCUGUAAGAGGUCCAUGGUUGAACUUUAUUUUUUUUGUUUUUGAGACAGAGUCUCACUCUGUUAUCUAGGCUGGAGUACAGUGGCAUGAUCUCAGCUCACUACAGCCUCCGCCUCCCAGUUUCAAUUGAUUCUCCUGCCUCAGCCUCCCAUGCAGGGAUUACAGGCCUGCACCACCACACCUGGCUAAUUUUCGUAUUUUUAGUAGAGACAGGGUUUCACCAUGUUGGCCAGGCUGGUCUUGAACUCCUAACCGCAAGUGAUCCACCCACCUCGGCCUUCCAGAGUGCUGAGAUUACAGGGAUGAGACACCAUGCCCAGACUAAUGGUUGAACUUCAGGAGAGCCAUACAUCUCCUGAUAAUGCAUGCAGAACUUCAUGUGUGCAUUUUUUUCUGAGUUGAAGUUUUGUAGUAUUCAUCCAAUUCUCAAAGGUGUUUAUAAACCAAUAAAGGUUAAGAAUCAUUUAUGUUGUGUAUUUGAAAGACUAAUAGAAAGGCUUAAGCUUAAUGCUGUAGCAAAUUAGUCUUCAAAAAUUUUCUACUACAACACUCAUUAGGAACAGAAGAGAGGGAAUGAGACCCUAAGAUUUAGAGAUGAAGUCUGAAACUUAGGACUUUAUAUUUAUCCUAACAUCCUAUGUAAAUGUUACUAUUAUGGGACUGAUAUUAAUGCUUCCUUAUAAAAAGAUAUUCCACCUCAUCAGUGAUCAGGGAACCAUAUUUGGGACCAGUCUGUUCAACGGGCAAAAAUUAAAGAGGCCCUCAUAUUGGAAAGGAAGAGGUAAAAUGAUUUGUUUACAGACAAUAUGAUGUUUUAUGUACAAAACCCUAGAGAUUCCACCCAAAAAACCCUGUUAGAACUAAAAAACAAAGUUGCAGGAUCCAAAUCACACAAAAUUUAGUUGCAUUUCAAUGUAAAAUUUAAAAAGGAAAUUUAAAAAUUCCAUUUACAAUAACAUCAAAACUAAAAUACUUAUGAAUAAAUUUAACCAAAGAGGCAAAAAACUUGUAUACUGAAAACUACAAAUGUUGCUG